GACGAACGCUGGCGGCGUGCUUAACACAUGCAAGUCGAACGGAAAGGCCCUGCUUUUGUGGGGUGCUCGAGUGGCGAACGGGUGAGUAACACGUGAGUAACCUGCCCUUGACUUUGGGAUAACUUCAGGAAACUGGGGCUAAUACCGGAUAGGAGCUCCUGCUGCAUGGUGGGGCUUGGAAAGUUUCGGCGGUUGGGGAUGGACUCGCGGCUUAUCAGCUUGUUGGUGGGGUAGUGGCUUACCAAGGCUUUGACGGGUAGCCGGCCUGAGAGGGUGACCGGGAACAGGGGGCGUGAGCUACGGGCGGGAGUAGUAAGGGAGACAGGAGUGGGGAAGAUAGCAUGAUGGAGGGAAGCCGGGUGCAGCAAGAAGGCGUGAGGGAUGGCGACCUGCGGGUUAUAGACAGAAAUAGGCGGGGAGGGAGGGUGGAUGACGGUAAUGGGUGAAGAAGCACCGGCUAACUACGUG
rnacentral:rRNA from 1 species